rnacentral:rRNA from 1 species
AUCUACCUAGUAGUACGGAAUAGUCAUUAGAAAUGGUGGGUAAUACUGUAUAAUCCCCGAGGGGGAAAGAUUUAUCGCUAUUAGAUGAGCCUACGUUAGAUUAGCUAGUUGGUGAGGUAAUGGCUUACCAAGGCUAUGAUCUAUAGCUGGUCUGAGAGGACGAUCAGCCACACUGGAACUGAGAUACGGUCCAGACUCCUACGGGAGGCAGCAGUGGGGAAUAUUGGACAAUGGGCGAAAGCCUGAUCCAGCUAUGCCGCGUGAGUGAAGAAG